GGAAAGUCCUGGGCAUCCCCGGAGCCGGAACGGUCACCCUUCAAGGACGCAGAUUAGCCGCGGCUGUUCUCUUUCCCUGUCCUUGCUAUCUGGCUUGUCACACUGCCCCUGCAGUCUGCUCCUCUACUCCUGCAUGAUCGCCCUCCCCUGAAUUCCCACCUUAUCCACAAAUCCAGGCAGAGCUGAAUUCACUCCACAAACUGAAGAUACCCAAAGCUCCUGGAAGCGCUGCUGGAAAUCCCCUCCCACGUACGCAAGAGCUCUUUGAGGACCAAGAAUAAACUUCUGAAGCAUUUUCUUUUUCUUAAAUCUUGUCUGCACAUGAUGAGGAUGCAGCUGCCAGCUUGACAAGUGGGAAAGAACCACUGCGAGGUGUGAAGUACAAGGUGCCUCUGCCAGCGUGGUGAUACCCGGGGCAACAGCAAAUAGAAAUAGCAAAAGCAACAGCUCUCUUACAGGAGUGGCAGCUAUUUCCACUACUGUGACCCAGGAUGAAAGUUUGGGUGGAUUGCUCCAUUCUCACUCUGCUGUGAAAAAUUCAUAAUAAGUCUUUGUCUCUUAAUUUUAAACAUUGAACUACUACUUGCCUUCAGGCUUGGCUUCUUUAGAGUACAGUUGGAUUAUUUUCUUUCCUCAAACUUUGAGUUAGAAGAGAUGAUUUUCUCAUAUAGUCACACAAUCUCAGGUGCCACAGACUUUAAGAAAAAUUAUAUGUAUACGUAUUCCUAUUUAUAUCCUGAAACUUGUGGUUAAAUCACAAGAGUUGGCAUCAUUGGCUUUUGGAGUACCCGGACUCUUUUUCAUGUGAGGACAAAGCUUUACGCACCUUGUCUUUGAUUUCACUCCAAACACAAUUACUCCCUUGUUGGUCACAGAAGACAAUAAACAUAGCUCCGUAGAGUUCAGCAUGUCCUUUAUUUUCAUUGAAUGGAGAUGAGUCAGUUUACAAAUGAGAUCUUGGCUCUUAAAAUCAAUUCACUGAAAGCUUAAAUGCAGUCUGUGCCAUGGGAAAAAUACUGGAAAAGAUUGGAGAACUCUGCUCUGCUUAUAUCCGGAUACCUUCUGUCAGAUCUCAUCAUCCUUGGGAUUGCAGCAUAACAGGAAGGCUAAGCAUGUAUUUUCCAUCACAAAUGCCAUUAGGAACAUCAGAAUAGAGCCUUUGAUAACAAACUCAGUAGCAAUACUCACAAGUCACAAACCAGCUAAAAAGAAAAGACUACUAGAGAGAUUUAUUCAGGAAAACAAUUAAGAAGAGUUGAAAGUGGCUAGUGCUCCCUAAGGAGAACCAAAAAGUACUUUGUUGGAGGCAGAUUGUUACAGAAGGCUCAAGGUACAUCAAGGAUUAGAAGACAGGUAGGUAUCUGGGGCAAAAAGACCCAGAUUUGUGCCCCCACAAUUGAGAUGCCCAAUUAGGAGCGCAGGCAAUGAAGAGAGAGAAGCUCCUCCAAGGAACAAUUCAUAACUCAGAUGGGACAAGCUGGGGCCAAUACCUUUGUAAGGAAUACAUUCCUAGUGUCUGCAUCUCCAGCUCAGUGUGUGAACUUCAUGUAAGGCCCUAGUUAAUCUGUUUUGGUUAGACAUACCACUCAGUUAAAGCCAUUGCAGUCACACCCGUAAAGAGGUGCUCGCCGUGAUAUGCUUCAGUCUUCUUUGCAUCUUACAAACUCAGCUAAUACAAGAUAGUCUAAUACUACAACAUCCGCUCUCCCAUUUUGAGUAGCACCAAUGGAAUUAUGUCUCUCUAUACGGACAUCAUGCCAGAGCAAUGUAUGAUGUAUUAGAUGAUGACAUAAGGAAACAAACCCAGUGUAAACUGGCUGGCUAAAAUAAAAGCAUUCCUCUUUUCAAUCUUUUAAAUUCUUACCACUUGCCCCAUUGUACUUUUACUGGCAUGGGUAACGCUGAGCUGAUAUUUUGAUUAUGGCUUUUGGUGCAAAUCUUUCCUGGAGCUAACUUCAUAGCUCAUGGCUGGAGCUAAAGCAGUUUAUAGAAGGAAAAAUGCUUUGCCGACCGCUUUUAAAACUCCUGCAGAACUGAGCAUGGUCACACCCAAAAUGGUUCUUACUGAACCAGAAAGGCCAAGCUGGCACCCUCCCUGCUCCAGCUGCUCUGGGAGGAGGCGAAGACAUCCUCACAGCAGCAGCCGCAGCAGCCCCACGGCUCUCACACCUCCCGAAUCUGCUUGCAAAGCGCUGAUAAGGAAAGGCACAGCGCCCUGGCAGAAAGCCCGGGCUGGGCUGGAUUUGACAGGCCACUGGAGUUACUUCCUUGCGAUUUAUACCCUCGAGACCAACACGUCACGGAGGAGGAAACGCAAAGACAAGCUUCCAAGGACAAGGUCACCGUACUUGCCAGUAGCAAAGGCAGAAAUAGGAACAACACUCCUUUCUCUCCCAAUACCAUAAUUAUUCUGAAUAACUUUAUACCAUGAGUGUCAUUAGGACGCUGGUGGGCAGAGAUUAUGACAAUUAAAAGACAACAGCUACUGGAAGAUAAUGUGGAGAAGUUAUGGAACAAAGUUUUCAGAAAAUGGCAAGGAAAUGACAAGUUUAACCAUGAGUGAAACAGAAGCCUGAGCUGGAACUGAUUACACUUCUGAAACCAGCAUCAAUAUGAAAGAAAAAUCUGCAAGAAAGGAAAUUUCAGAUGAAUUACUCAUUUGGUACUCAUUUCAGGGAGGGGAAAUGACAGUCUGCAGUGAGAACCGAUCGGUCACUUCUCCAGCUCCACAGCAGCCUGAAACGUGAAUACCACGACUGCAGCUCACCAGGAGAGCCCAGGCCUCCGGAGAGACGUGCUUCUCCUGCAGCUCUGGACGCGUAGCUCCUGCGCUUGAGAGACGCUGAACGAAGGAUUUCCUGCUCCCACACCAUCCACAGCAGAGCCCCAAACGCUCAGCAUAACCUACAGUGUCUGUCUCAGUAUCGGGAAGGGAAAAUCAAGAGUGAUUAGUAUGCGCAGCCAUGAAUGCACAACUGAAAUAAGCCAACCAGUGGCAUUAAAUCUGCAGUAAAUAAAAGAAGCAGAGCCAAGAGACAGGGAGAGGGGAACCCCUCUCCUCCCCUUCCCUCGGGAGGAGACCAAAGGCUGGUGCAAGUCUCUCUGAGGUGAAGGGGAACAGCUGUGUGUUGUUAGUGAGCCCCUCCGACUCCUUUAUUCUAACUCAGCUCUUAAUAACACAGUAGCAGUGCAGUUUAAGGGACAACAGAAGAUAUAUAAGGAAAGGAAACCAAAAGAGGACUUUUCAGGGGCUUUUUUUUUUUUUUUUUUCAGGGCAUCCAGGAUGCUUCAAAGACUGUUCAUAUGAGUGCGGAAAGCAGCAGAAAGGCAUCCACUCAUGGAGAAUGAAAAAGCUAAUGGCAGCAGAAAAUACUGUUUUAAUGAAUGCAAAGUGUCCAUGUGACUGGAAAGCCCUUAAAUGUAAAGAGUUAGUAAUUACCAACAAAUAAGUAAUAAGAGGAAAAAUAUUCUCUGUGGUCUGGAAUGUUCGGUCGCCUCCUUUCAUCCAUCCUUCACAUAUUUAAAACUAAAUUGACUGAUUGCUAUUUUCUCUGUUAAGAAACUGGGAGUAAGGGAAGAGGCAGGAUAAGGCAUAACCCUUCAAGUCAGUGGAAUAUGAACCCAGACAGGCAAGAGGCAACGGUUCUUCAUCCCAUGCCAUGUUGCUAACCCUCGGGUUUGAAGUCUUACAGCAUAUGCUGUCAAACAUAGUGCACAUUUGUUCUGCAGGAAGAGGCCCCUCAGUGUAUCAGAUCUCUCCCCUCCCAACAUGCACCCAGCAGUCUCCCCACCCAGGAGCAGCUCCAAGUGACAACCCUCAAACCUUCCCAUGGUUUAUUCCCUUGAUGUUAGCCAAAGCAAUGGUGGGGUGAAAUUGUCACCAGAAUUUUCCUUGGCUGCCUGGGGAGAGAAGGAAAGUUCAAGGGGGACAAGAGUUUGGACCAAGGAUUGCUGGUCUAGACAGUCACCCUUUCCUCUCUGUAGCUUAGCUAAUAUUCAACCAUUGAAUAAACAAAGCCAUGCGACUGGUACGGAUUUUUAUUUGAUGAGGGAAUCAUUAGCAAGUGUAUGUCUUUCCAAGACCUCUCUUACCUGCAAAGCCACUUUGAGAUUGUGAGAAGGAUGUAUUUGUGUAUCUUGCUUAAUAAAAUGUCUCCCACACCUCUUGGGUGGUCAAGGGUACUAAACAGCC